rnacentral:rRNA from 1 species
AGAGUUUGAUCCUGGCUCAGGACGAACGCUGGCGGCGGCUUAAGACAUGCAAGUCGAACGGGGUCCAUCCUUCGGGAGAAGACCUAGUGGCGAACGGGUGAGUAACACGUGAGCAACCUGCCCCAAAGACAGGGAUAAGCGAGGGAAACUUCGUCUAAUACCUGAUGCCUUCCUUUUACCUCAUGGUGUUUGGAAGAAAUGAUUUAUCGCUUUGGGAGGGGCUCGCGGCCUAUCAGCUUGUUGGUGGGGUAAUGGCCUACCAAGGCGUCGACGGGUAGCUGGUCUGAGAGGAUGAUCAGCCACACUGGGACUGAGAUACGGCCCAGACUCCUACGGGAGGCAGCAGUUAGGAAUCUUGCGCAAUGGGGGAAACCCUGACGCAGCAACGCCGCGUGUGGGAUGAAUGCUUUCGGGUUGUAAACCACUUUCAGCAGGAACGAAAUUGACGGUACCUGCAGAAGAAGCUCCGGCCAACUACGUGCCAGCAGCCGCGGUAAUACGUAGGGAGCAAGCGUUGUCCGGAUUUAUUGGGCGUAAAGAGCUCGUAGGCGGCUUAGCAAGUCAGGUGUGAAAACUCCAGGCUCAACCUGGAGACGCCAUCUGAUACUGCUAUGGCUUGAGUUCGGUAGGGGACCACGGAAUUCCUGGUGUAGCGGUGAAAUGCGCAGAUAUCAGGAGGAACACCGAUGGCGAAGGCAGUGGUCUGGGCCGAAACUGACGCUGAGGAGCGAAAGCGUGGGUAGCAAACAGGAUUAGAUACCCUAGUAGUCC